AUGGCGUUCUCGGGGAACAUUCAACGCUGUCGGUGAGUUUAAACUGAGGAAAACCAUCGAUCGUUGACUGUACCCCGCGACACGCCACC
rnacentral:pre_miRNA from 10 species